UACAGAGGUGGCAAGCGUUGUUCGGAAUUACUGGGCGUAAAGGGCGCGUAGGCGGUUCGUCAAGUCCUGUGUGAAAUCCCCCCGGCUCAACUGGGGAACUGCACAGGAAACUAGCGGGCUUGAGUUCGGGAGAGGGAAGCGGAAUUCCGGGUGUAGCGGUGAAAUGCGUAGAUAUCCGGAGGAACACCGGUGGCGAAGGCGGCUUCCUGGACCGACACUGACGCUGAGGCGCGAAAGCUAGGGGAGCAAACGGG
rnacentral:rRNA from 1 species